UGAAUUUGUAACUCAUGGGGGCUUCUGUAAACAUGCUCGAUAUCUUUAAUACGUUUUCACGUGGAGCCAAGAAAAAAACUGCCUGCACCGUCAGACUGUGGCCACGCCCACUCGAGUUACAUCUCUCGCAGGCCACGCCCCGCGCACCUGUGCGCCAGGUUCUGCUGGAGAGAGCGGAGCUGAGUGCGUUUGUUCCGCGUCUUUUAUGGUUAUUUUUUAUUUUUCCUUUAUUUGAAUGUUUUUAAAAUGUAACUAAUGUAAUUAUGUAGUGUAGACCUCGCAGGAGAAAGGGAUAAAACUCGUAUUUUCGUUGGAAGCUAAAUAACAUUUAGAAUUUUAGUGUCUUCGGGAAGGACAUGCUUGGCUCAGCUGCUGUAAUUAUCCAAUUUGGUGUCUGCGGGCAGGACAUGCUUGGCUCAGCUGCUGGAAUUAUCGAUGAGAUGCACCGAGGUUCCAGUCUUCAUUCCUGUUGCUGCCUCGACUGAUAACUCGGAGAAACAGUAACGUGCUGUGUGUUUCUGUAUCUUAACUUGUAGUUGUUUGCAAAUGUUUUCUUACUCUGUUGACUUGUAACACUAUUUAGCGUUAAUGUAGCCGUGCUUUGACACUUUGUAAUUAAAAUGCAUGUUUAUUUCCACUUUGAAGCCUGUGCAUCCGACGUCUUGUAAUGCUUUGUUUUGUAUGCCA